rnacentral:rRNA from 1 species
CAGAACGAACGCUGGCGGCAUGGAUUAGGCAUGCAGGUCGAACGAAGCAGCAAUGCUUAGUGGCGCAAGGGUGAGGAACACGUGAGUGACCUACCCGCAAGUUUGGAACAGCUCCUGGAAACGGGAAUUAAUACCGGAUGUGAUCGAUGAACUGCAUGGUUUAUUGAUUAAAGCAGUAAUGCGCUUGCGGAUGGGCUCGCGUCCCAUUAGCUAGUUGGUGAGGUAACGGCCCACCAAGGCCAUGAUGGGUAGCUGGUCUGAGAGGACGACCAGCCACACUGGGACUGAGAACUGCCCAGACUCCUACGGGAGGCUGCAGUCGAGAAUUUUGGGCAAUGGACGAAAGUCUGAACCCCCAGCAAUGCCGCGUGCGGGAUGAAGGUCUUCGGAUUGUAAACCGCUGUUUGGAGGGACGAAAAUUGACGGUACUUCCAGAGGAAGCCACGGCUAACUACGUGCCAGCCGCAGC